rnacentral:rRNA from 1 species
AAUGGGCGCAAGCCUGAUCCAGCCAUGCCGCGUGUGUGAUGACGGCCUUAGGGUUGUAAAGCACUUUCGCCGAUGAAGAUAAUGACUGUAGUCGGAGAAGAAGCCCCGGCUAACUUCGUGCCAGCAGCCGCGGUAAUACGAAGGGGGCUAGCGUUGUUCGGAAUUACUGGGCGUAAAGCGUACGUAGGCGGAUUGUUAAGUGAGGGGUGAAAUCCCGAGGCUCAACCUCGGAACUGCCUUUCAUACUGGCAAUCUUGAGUCCGGGAGAGGUGAGUGGAAUUCCUAGUGUAGAGGUGAAAUUCGUAGAUAUUAGGAAGAACACCAGUGGCGAAGGCGGCUCACUGGCCCGGAACUGACGCUGAGGUACGAAAGCGUGGGGAGCAAA